AAUAGGUGUGUGCAGGAAUACAGUUACCUACCUUAUCAAAAUAGAUAAGCGCUAAACGUCCGGGAGCUAACUUCACAGACAUUCAAUUGUUUUUGUAAAUCAUUGUGCUUAAAGUUGUAUGUAGCAGUUCCAUUCAUUGUUUACAUCGUACACUUUUUUAAUAAAAUAAAUAUCAAGCAGUAAAGAUAUUUGGAACAAUGAAAAAACAUUACGAUACAAUGAAAUGUUUCGUAAGGAACAUGUGUCAUAGGAUCAUAAAAAUCCGAUUUCGCAGCGACAAGUCGAAAGUAAAACGAAGUCAUAAAUGAACUGCAACAGGCAGGGAUCAAGUUUACGAGUAUACAAUAUUUAUGGUUCGAAUUUAAAUCUUAAUCAUUAUUUAUGGACAAAAAUACACCACAUUCUACACUGAGUAGUUUCUGUACCCAGAAGUGAAACACCGAUUGUUGGACAAGAUGAGUAUUCCGCAUUCACAUCUCAUACUUUCAAUCAAGAUUUUAAUGACAAAAACAAAAAUUCAUCUACUACGCUUAAUUUACACAUAAAACUCCAGCAAAAAAAAAUAAGUUGACAAUGAAGAUAAUAUUUAUUUUCUCUGCCGUACCAGCGACAACCAGUGAGGAUAAAAAUCAAAGUUAUGGAAUUUAUUUAGGGAACAAACUAUGGCUUUAUAGUGCAACAGCACUGAGUGCAAUUCAAUAUGUAUUUGGUUAUAAUAUUUUUAGAGCCGACCGAGACAUAUUUGAAAUAAAAUUUGCUACAGAAUAUAAACAUUAUAUUAUACUAUUUACCAUAACAAUUUUCUAUUUCUGUAUUUACUCUUCACUCUCCACUGGUUUUGCUAUUCUUAAUUCUGUACCCUCUCAACAAGUACAAUCAACUGUAAUUUACACCAGUUUGAGUUCACUUAUUAUUUUUUACAUUCAUUUCCAAUAUCAAUUGUAAACCAUACAUUU